UGAGAAUUUAAAACAUAACAGAAGGUCAACUUCACAAUGAGCUUUGUGUUUACAGUAAUCUGUCAAAUUAUUUAGAUUAGAUUUGGGGAAAAAAAUUUGAUCACGUCAAAAGCAUCAAAGCAAAAGCUAAUUUUAGAAUAAGAACAAACAACAAAUUGGAUGAUAAAGUGUUUAUUGAAUUAGAGACACACUUUCAGUGACUAAAAAUGUUUGGGUUUUUUUUGUGCACAAGGAACAAUUUAGUGUGAAGUUUGAGGCAUUAAUGACAGAUAUGUUCUUCCUGCUUGGUUUCUUCCAGGUGAACGUUCUUGCCUUGUCCAUCUGCACACAUGAAGCGUAUCAGUCGAUGAAGGAAAGAAAUGUCAAUGACAGUCAUAUCAUCAAUUUAAACAGUGUGUGUGGACAUUUGAUACUUCCACUUGGUGAGUUGCAUUUCUACACUGCCACCAAGUUUGCAGUGACCGCCCUGACUGAGGGCCUGAGGCAGGAGCUGCGUGAGGCCAAGAGCCACAUCCGGGCCACAAGUAUUUCUCCUGGUGCUGUGGACACUGAAUUUGAUUCUCAACUGUACAGCGACGAUCCAAGUAAAGCUGCAGCUCUGUACGGUCAGCAUAAGAAUCUAUCUGGACUGGAUGUUGCUCAGGCUGUUUUGUAUGUCCUCGGUGCUCCUCCACAUGUGCAGAUUGGAGAAUUAUUGCUGCGUCCUGUGGAGCAACCGAUGUAAUAAUGCCACCAAUGAUGUGACACCUGAUGAAUUCUGAAUGUGAUUCCUUCACUACAGUUUUGUCUUCAUGUCACCAUGAAAUAAAUUUGGUCACACAUUUAA